rnacentral:rRNA from 1 species
CUACGGGAUGCAGCAGUGGGGAAUAUUGCACAAUGGGCGCAAGCCUGAUGCAGCCAUGCCGCGUGUAUGAAGAAGGCCUUCGGGUUGUAAAGUACUUUCAGCGGGGAGGAAGGGAGUAAAGUUAAUACCUUUGCUCAUUUACGUUACCCGCAGAAGAAGCACCGGCUAACUCCGUGCCAGCAGCCGCGGUAAUACGGAGGGUGCAAGCGUUAAUCGGAAUUACUGGGCGUAAAGCGCACGCAGGCGGUUUGUUAAGUCAGAUGUGAAAUCCCCGGGCUCAACCUGGGAACUGCAUCUGAUACUGGCAAGCUUGAGUCUCGUAGAGGGGGGUAGAAUUCCAGGUGUAGCGGUGAAAUGCGUAGAGAUCUGGAGGAAUACCGGUGGCGAAGGCGGUCCCCUGGACGAAGACUGACGCUCAGGUGCGAAAGCGUGGGGGGCAAACAGGAUUAGAUACCCUCGUAGUC